GAUGAACGCUGGCGGCGUGCCUAAUACAUGCAAGUCGAGCGAACAGACGAGGAGCUUGCUCCUCUGACGUUAGCGGCGGACGGGUGAGUAACACGUGGAUAACCUACCUAUAAGACUGGGAUAACUCCGGGAAACCGGAGCUAAUACCGGAUAAUAUAUUGAACCGCAUGGUUCAAUAGUGAAAGACGGUUUUGCUGUCACUUAUAGAUGGAUCCGCGCCGCAUUAGCUAGUUGGUAAGGUAACGGCUUACCAAGGCAACGAUGCGUAGCCGACCUGAGAGUGUGAUCGGCCACACUGGAACUGAGACACGGUCCAGACUCCUACGGGAGGCAGCAGUAGGGAAUCUUCCGCAAUGGGCGAAAGCCUGACGGAGCAACGCCGCGUGAGUGAUGAAGGUCUUCGGAUCGUAAAACUCUGUUAUUAGGGAAGAACAAAUGUGUAAGUAACUAUGCACGUCUUGACGGUACCUAAUCAGAAAGCCACGGCUAACUACGUG
rnacentral:rRNA from 1 species